rnacentral:rRNA from 1 species
UACGUAGGGGGCUAGCGUUGUCCGGAAUCAUUGGGCGUAAAGCGCGUGUAGGCGGCCAUACAGGUCCGUUGUGAAAACUCGAGGCUUAACCUCGAGACGUCGAUGGAAACCGUAUGGCUAGAGUCCGGAAGAGGAGAGUGGAAUUCCUGGUGUAGCGGUGAAAUGCGCAGAUAUCAGGAAGAACACCCGUGGCGAAGGCGGCUCUCUGGGACGGUACUGACGCUGAGACGCGAAAGCGUGGGGAGCGAACAGG